GACAGAGGGUGCAAACGUUGUUCGGGAAUUACUGGGCAUAAAGCGCACGUAGGUGGUCUGCUAAGUCAAGUGUGAAAUCCCCCGGCUCAACCGGGGAAUUGCGCUCGAUUACUGGCAGGCUCAAGGUUGGUAGGGGUGAGCGGAAUCCAGGUGGGAGCGGUGAAAAUGCGUAGAUAUCUGGAGGAACACCGGUGGCGAAAGCGGCU
rnacentral:rRNA from 1 species